GACGAACGCUGGCGGCGUGCCUAAUACAUGCAAGUCGAACGCUGAAGGAGGAGCUUGCUUCUCUGGAUGAGUUGCGAACGGGUGAGUAACGCGUAGGUAACCUGCCUGGUAGCGGGGGAUAACUAUUGGAAACGAUAGCUAAUACCGCAUAAUAGUAGAUGUUGCAUGACAUUUGCUUAAAAGGUGCAAUUGCAUCACUACCAGAUGGACCUGCGUUGUAUUAGCUAGUUGGUGAGGUAACGGCUCACCAAGGCAACGAUACAUAGCCGACCUGAGAGGGGGAUCGGCCACACUGGGACUGAGACACGGCCCAGACUCCUACGGGAGGCAGCAGUAGGGAAUCUUCGGCAAUGGACGGAAGUCUGACCGAGCAACGCCGCGUGAGUGAAGAAGGGUGUCGGAUCGUAAAGCUCUGUUGUAAGAGAAGAACGAGUGUGAGAGUGGAAAGUUCACACUGUGACGGUAUCUUACCAGAAAGGGACGGCUAACUACGUG
rnacentral:rRNA from 1 species